AGAGUUUGAUCAUGGCUCAGGACGAACGCUGGCGGCGCGCUUAACACAUGCAAGUCGAGCGAGAACCAGGCCUUCGGGCCUGGGGACAGCGGCGAACGGGUGAGUAACACGUGGGUAAUCUGCCCUCGAUUCUGGGAUAGCCCGGGGAAACCCGGAUUAAUACCGGAUAGCCUCUCGAGCUCUCGGGCUCGUGAGAAAAGGUAGCUUCGGCCUCCGAUCGAGGAUGAGCCCGCGGCGGAUUAGCUUGUUGGUGGGGUAAUGGCUCACCAAGGCGACGAUCCGUAGCUGGUCUGAGAGGACGAUCAGCCACACUGGGACUGAGACACGGCCCAGACUCCUACGGGAGGCAGCAGUGGGGAAUCUUGCGCAAUGGGCGAAAGCCUGACGCAGCGACGCCGCGUGGGGGAAGAAGGCCUUCGGGUUGUAAACCUCUUUCAGUAGGGACGAAGCCACUCGGGUUAAUAGCCCAGAGGGUGACGGUACCUACAGAAGAAGCCCCGGCUAACUACGUGCCAGCAGCCGCGGUAAUACGUAGGGGGCAAGCGUUGUCCGGAUUUAUUGGGCGUAAAGAGCGUGUAGGCGGCCAGGUAGGUCCGUUGUGAAAACUGGAGGCUUAACCUUCAGACGUCGAUGGAAACCAUCUGGCUAGAGUCCGGAAGAGGAGAAUGGAAUUCCUGGUGUAGCGGUGAAAUGCGCAGAUAUC
rnacentral:rRNA from 1 species